UGGGGAAUUUUGGACAAUGGGGGAAACCCUGAUCCAGCCAUCCCGCGUGUGCGAUGAAGGCCUUCGGGUUGUAAAGCACUUUUGGCAGGAAAGAAACGUCAUGGGUUAAUACCCCGUGAAACUGACGGUACCUGCAGAAUAAGCACCGGCUAACUACGUGCCAGUAGCCGCGGUAAUACGUAGGGUGCAAGCGUUAAUCGGAAUUACUGGGCGUAAAGCGUGCGCAGGCGGUUCGGAAAGAAAGAUGUGAAAUCCCAGAGCUCAACUUUGGAACUGCAUUUUUAACUACCGGGCUAGAGUGUGUCAGAGGGAGGUGGAAUUCCGCGUGUAGCAGUGAAAUGCGUAGAUAUGCGGAGGAACACCGAUGGCGAAGGCAGCCUCCUGGGAUAACACUGACGCUCAUGCACGAAAGCGUGGGGAGCAAACAGG
rnacentral:rRNA from 1 species